AUCCAACUGACGAACUCUAAAUAGGACGAAAGACGCGUCUUGGAU
rfam:Schistosoma mansoni strain Puerto Rico chromosome 3, complete genome